rnacentral:rRNA from 1 species
GUCACGCACGCCGGGUGGGCAUCGGUGCUGGAGGGCGUGUCCGGUGGCGUGCCCAUGGCGUGCCGUCCCUUCUUCAGUGACCAGAGGAUGAACGCGCGGCUGGUGGCAGACGUCUGGUGUUUCGGCAUGGUCUUUGAGAAGCCCAUGACGCGCGGGACCGUGAAGGCGGCGGUGUCGUCGCUGCUCGCUGGUGAUCAGGGGAUCAGGAUGCAAGAGAUGCGGGGUAUAGCUGCCAACGCGUUCGCGCCGGACGGCGGUAGUAGGAAGAACCUGGAUAAGCUUGUCAAGAUUGUCUGCCCACAAGUGUGA